GCGGGACUGGCGAACAGACGCACCAGAUUUAGGUUCUGCGCCGCGAGGUGUGUGGGUUCAAGUCCUCGUCCCGCACCA
rnacentral:tRNA from 1 species